UGAUAGCGUAGAAACGUGAGGUUGUCGCAUGUAUUGCGAGUUUUCCGUGGAGCGAAUGUCAAGUUAUGAAACUGGCGACAA
rnacentral:ncRNA from 1 species